rnacentral:rRNA from 1 species
UACGUAGGUGACCAGCGUUGUCCGGAUUUACUGGGCGUAAAGAGCGCGCAGGCGGUCGUUCAAGUCGAGUGUGAAAGCCCCCGGCUCAACUGGGGAGGGUCACUCGAUACUGAUCGACUUGAAGGCAGGAGAGGGAAGCGGAAUUCCCGGUGUAGUGGUGAAAUGCGUAGAUAUCGGGAGGAACACCAGUGGCGAAGGCGGCUUCCUGGCCUGUUCUUGACGCUGAGGCG